GGGUGGAAACAUCCGCUAAUACCGGAUAGGCUUGUUCGGUCAAAGGGACAAGGAAAGGCUCCGGCGCUCUGGGAGGAGCCUGCGGCCCAUCAGCUAGUUGGCGGGGUAACGGCCCACCAAGGCAAAGACGGGUAGGGGGUGUGAGAGCAUGGCCCCCCACAAUGGGACUGGAACACGGCCCAUACUCCUACGGGGGGCAGCAGCAGGGAAUAUUGCACAAUGGACGGAAGUCUGAUGCAGCGACGCCGCGUGGAUGAAGAAGGCCCUCGGGUUGUAAAAUCCUUUACAGGGGGAAGAGGAAGGACGGUACCCCUGGAACAAGUGUCGGCUAACUACGUGCCAGCAGCCGCGGUAAGACGUAGGACACAAGCGUUAUCCGGAUUUACUGGGCGUAAAGCGUCUGCAGGCGGACAGGUAAGUUGGGCGUGAAAGCUCCGGGCCCAACCCGGAGAGGUCGUUCAAUACUGCGUGUCUAGGGGGUGUCAGAGGGGAGUGGAAUUUCCGGAGUAGCGGUAAAAUACGCAGAGAUCGGAAAGAACACCAAUGGCGAAGGCAGCUCCCUGGGGCAACCCUGACGCUAAGAGACGAAAGCUAGGGGAGCGAACAGGAUUAGAGACCCUGGUAGUCCUAGCCCUAAACGAUGGAUGCUGGAUGUGGGGCCAUAGCGCUCCGUGUCGAAGCGAACGCGUUAAGCAUCCCGCCUGGGGACUACGGCCGCAAGGUUAAAACUCAAACGAAUUGACGGGACCCCGCACAAGCAGCGGAGCGUGUGGUUUAAUUCGAUGCUACACGAAGAACCUUACCUGGGUUUGACAUCUAGGUGGUAGUGAAGCGAAAGCGGAGCGACCCUUCGGGGAGCCUAGACAGGUGCUGCAUGGCUGUCGUCAGCUCGUGCCGUGAGGUGUCGGGUUAAGUCCCGUAACGAGCGCAACCCUUGCCCUCCGUUAUACGUGUCAGAGGGGACUGCCGGCGGUAAGCCGGAGGAAGGUGGGGAUGACGUCAAGUCAGCAUGGCCUUUAUAUCCAGGGCUACACACACGCUACAAUGGCCAGUACAAAGGGCAGCGAAGCCGCGAGG
rnacentral:rRNA from 1 species